AUGUCCGAUGUAGUGAAGUUGAGAUUUUACUAUGGUCCUGGUACUGUCCAAACAAAUGAGUUGGGAGCAGAUCUGAGUGAAUUUACUCACAUAGAGGUUGCAAUCAGCGCACCACAAACAUGGUCUGUUAGUCAGUUGAAAGAAUGGAUUGCGGCAAGUUUAGGUCUUGAUACUGAAACACACACCGUCGGUGUUCAUGCAUUGUGGACACGGUCAAGUUUAAAAAUUUACUUUUAUUUGAGGCCAAUAGAGGGAGACUCCGAUUGGGUGCGGUGGUUACAAGGUUGUGAACGAAGGGGAUGCAAUCCUGUUGCUUUAGUGCUUCCCGUCGUGAAGGAGGUCACUGCACAUGAAGGGGAGGGUGGCUACGAAGGACAGAGCAGUCAUGUAGAAGGAGGAAAUGCUUAUGGUUACGAACAAGGACAGAGCAGUCAGGUAGAAGGAGGAAAUGCUUAUGGUUAUGAACCAGGACAGAGUAGUCAGGUAGAAGGAGGAAAUGCCGAUGGUGAUUACAAUGGCGAGGUGGACGCUGACGAGGUAGAUGGGCACAUGCAGAACCAGAUGGAAGAAGAAGACACCGAUGUUGAAAGGGGUCAUGCCGAUGAUUCUGACGAGUCAGAUGAAGAAGAAAAUGCAGAGGAGGUCCCGAAUCCUGCAUGGUGGAAUCAUGACUUAUCAUCUGCAAUGACCGUGAAUGAUGGACAUGAUUCAGCCUGGCAAUAUCACCAGAACAAUAUUGCGACGGGUGCUAUGUAUCCGAACAAGCAAGCCCUGAAGGAUGCAAUAAUUAAUUGGGCAAUGUCCACGCAAAGGGUUUUCAAAGCUGAGGUGUCCAGUCAGAAAUUCCUCACAAUGGUAUGCAAGAAUGCAGAUUGUCCCGCAAGGGUGCACGGCUUUCUCCCUAAGUAUGGCACAAGUUGGGUGAUAAGUGACUUAGUUAAUCACACUUGUCUUAUUCCCUGCAUCCCUCAAGAUCAUGCCAACCUUUCAUCCACGCUUAUUGCUCGACUGUUUUACGAUGAGAUAGUGCAAGGCAAAGCUAUGGAAGUGAAGGCAGUGCAGACAAAAGUGUUCGCCAGGUUGAAGUACAGAAUUUCUUAUGGCAAGGCUUGGAGGGCUAAGCAUGCAGCGCUUGAGAGGAGAUUUGGUUCUUAUUUUGGUGCAUAUGACUCUGUUGUCCACCUCCUCCACACCCUGCAGCAGCGGAAUCCAGGCACCUAUAUCGAUAUCCAAGACAUGUUCAUGCCAGAGUUCCCAACUGUGAGGGUUUUGCAUCGUCUCUUCUUCUCUUUCGGUGUAUGCAUCGAAGCUUUCAGGCAUUGCCGACCGGUGAUAUGUGUUGACGGUACUUUUCUCACAGGCAAGUACAAGGGUCAGAUACUGACAGCCAUAGGUCAAGACGGCCAAAAUCAAGUCGUCCCACUGGCAUUUGCUUUUGUGGUGAGUGAGAACAUUGAAAGUUGGACAUGGUUCUUCAGGCAGUUGAAAAUAUCAGUUGUCAAGGAGAAGCCGAAUGUGUGCAUCCUUCAUGACAGGCAUGCAGGUAUACUCAGUGCGAUAAGGACACUGACAAACCCAGGCCCUGAGGAACAAGUUCCAUGGCAGGACUUGCAGAGCCGUUGGUGCAUGCGCCAUCUCGGGGCUAAUUUCUUCUCGCAGUUUAGAAAUAAGAACCUGAUGAAUCUGUUCAAAAAACUCUGCAAGCGGAACCAGUUAUGGAAGUACAAUUUGAUACGCGACAGACUUAAUGUGUGCACGCAGAGACAGGUGAGGGACAGGAAAGCUGCAAGAGAUGCAUCGGUGAGGGCACAUGUUGAAGCAGUAGCUGCACAGUUGGCAACAAGAACAGCGGCCGUGGAGGAGGAGGCUGUUGGGCUAUGUGACCUGCCAGGCUUUGACCCACCUGGUACUAGGAGAAGGCUCGGGAGGUCGAUUAAAACCUUCGAGCAGUGGAUAGAGCAUGAGCCUCUGGAGAGGUGGUCUUUGCUACAUGACACACAUGGAGCAAGGUACGGUGUCAUGACAACGAACCUCGCAGAAACAUACAACUUUGUCCUCAGAGGAAACCGGGCAUUGCCACUUACAGCCAUCGUUGAGGGUAUUUUCUAUGGCACCGUCAAGUAUUUCAGAGACAGACGUAAAAUAGCAGAGCAGCAUAUCUUGAACAACCCAAAUACACGGUACUGUGAAAGAGUCACAAAGUACAUGGACAACAAGAUGCAAAAAGCUAGGUCACACACUGUAGUCGCCAUCGGUAAUCAAGAAAGAAGGUUUGAGGUCCGCUUAGCCAACAAAAAAUUCGGAUGUGCAAAUGAGUUGAGGACGCAUGAGGUGAAAAUUGGCAAUGAAGCCUGGCCAACGUGUGAGUGCACAUGCAAUAAACCGAAAUUGCUUCACCUACCUUGCUCACAUGUACUUGCUGCUUGCGGGCAGCUUGGAAUGGACGCAAUAUCGUUUGUGUCUCCAUAUUUUCUGAAAGAGGCUGUCCUCAAUACCUGGACAGGUGAGCUGAUGGGUUUUCGAUCAAUGGGUAAUUUCAACAGCGUCAACCCCGCCGAUAGGCGUUACAUUCCAAACCCAGAGCAUAUGCGUACAAGUAGAGGCAGACGGCAGUGUCAGCGCAUCCGAAAUGAUAUGGAUGAAUCUGAAGCAGGAGGUCCGACUAGGCAAUGCAUUCUAUGCAAUGAAUUUGGCCAUAGGGACACUAAUUGUCCCACUUUCGUCACUGGGCGUGGACGAGGCAACCGGGGAAGAAGAGGAGGUAGAGGUAGUAGAGGA
rnacentral:rRNA from 1 species